rnacentral:rRNA from 1 species
UCGCCGGUGCGUCCACCGCCGGCGUGCGCCGGUCGGCCUCACGGUCGGCCGCGCAUCUUGGGGGCCGUCGCGGCUGUUUACUUUGAACAAAUUAGAGUGCUCAAAGCGGGCUAACACUUGCCUGAAUAUUGUACGCAUGGAAUAAUAGAAUAGGACCUCGGUUCUGUUUUGUUGGCUUUCUGAUACCAGAGGUAAUGAUUAAUAGGGACAACUGGGGGCAUUCGUAUUGCGACGUUAGAGGUGAAAUUCUUGGAUCGUCGCAAGACGGACUAAAGCGAAAGCAUUUGCCAAAGGUGUUUUCAUUAAUCAAGAACGAAAGUUAGAGGUUCGAAGGCGAUUAGAUACCGCUGUAGUUCUAACCAUAAAUGAUGCCAGCCAGCGAUCCGCCGAAGUUUCAUAAUUUUAACCCGGUGGGCAGCUCCCGGGAAACCAAAGCUUUC